UCAACUCUUAGGAGAAAAUUAUCAUUUACCACUAACUCCUUAAACCUACUACAGAAACUCGAUAUUCUUUGAAGAGUUUCAUCAGACACUACAUAUGCAUUAGAUAAUACACUCAAUAAUAAAAAAUAAAUACCACUCUUAAAAUUUUCUUCUCAACUUUUCAAUCAUUUUCCAGAGGAAAUAAACAAUUUUUUUUUCUCCAGUGUUCUCAUUUGUCUUCAAUCUUGCAAAUCCAAAAUCACUAAUCAAUGCAUUAAAAUCUAAAUCAAGCAAGAUUGCAAAAAUGAUGUAGAUAUUCAAAUCUUUUAGCAACAGCAGCAAACUAAGAUUUCAAUACACCCAAGUCAGAUCAUUAAGUUUUUUGUUGGAGAGCCCUGCCAUGGUCCUCAUACCCCUUCUCACACCUAUCAAUUUCUCUGUUGCUCCUGUGCGUUGGCAUAAUAUCCCAAAGAACCCAACCCACAUUUUUAGGAUGCAUGUGAUGACCCUGGAAGUGCGGCAUCUGUGUGGCUCCAACGAAAAUGCUUCUCGAACUUUGUCCACUAAGCAUCGAUUUGAAUCGGUUCCAGUGAUAUGUUCCAAUUAAAAUCAAUUAGGAUGUAAUAAAUAGAGCAAGGGAGAAUCAGUCGCAGCUAAGAUGGAAAUUAUUGUGAUUGGGUUUUUUUUUCUCGUGACUUUCUUGAUGGUGAGAGUUUUAGUUUUAUUCUUGUGAUUCUGUUUGGCUCUUGAGAAAAUUGAUAGAGAGAAUGAGCGAUUACGAGAGAAAGGGACAAACCAAGAAGAAAAAGAAAUGGGUGAGAAGGGCAUUAGAAGUGGAAAAGAGAAAUGAAUUAAAGGGUCAAACCAAGAAGAAAAAGAAAUGGGUAAGAAGGGCAUUGGAUUGCAAGAGGUAUAAGUGAAAA
rnacentral:lncRNA from 1 species